rnacentral:rRNA from 1 species
GACGAACGCUGGCGGCGUGCUUAACACAUGCAAGUCGAACGGAAAGGCCCUGCUUUUGUGGGGUGCUCGAGUGGCGAACGGGUGAGUAACACGUGAGUAACCUGCCCUUGACUUUGGGAUAACUUCAGGAAACUGGGGCUAAUACCGGAUAGGAGCUCCUGCUGCAUGGUGGGGGUUGGAAAGUUUCGGCGGUUGGGGAUGGACUCGCGGCUUAUCAGCUUGUUGGUGGGGUAGUGGCUUACCAAGGCUUUGACGGGUAGCCGGCCUGAGAGGGUGACCGGCCACAUUGGGCCUGAGAUACGGCCCAGACUCCUACGGGAGGCAGCAGUGGGGAAUAUUGCACAAUGGGCGGAAGCCUGAUGCAGCAACGCCGCGUGCGGGAUGACGGCCUUCGGGUGGUAAACCGCUUUCGCCUGUGACGAAGCGUGAGUGACGGUAAUGGGUAAAGAAGCACCGGCUAACUACGG